GAUUUCUCACACUUACUUGUGAGGCGUGGCAGUUAGGCAUCUAACAGACAACACUCAAAGCCAGCCCUUGUCUGAAAAGCUUGCAGUCCUACGAACAGGCAUACGUUAAGACAGGAAGAGACCAGCUGCAGAAUCUAGCCUCUUUACUAGCACCUUCUUCAGAACUGGUACAAUGUGGAAGAAGUCCUGAAAAAAACUGGAGAAGACUGGAGCCAUUACUGGAGCAUGGGGAGUGAGGACUGACAAGAGCAUUGUCAGCAGCCUGGAAGAUACUUCAAAGGGAAACCAGCAGUGGAGAGGAAAUGUGUAAAAAUGCAACUAAAUAGGUAUCUGAAGAGACAAGCCAUGCUGCAUUUUGAGACUUUGAACAUUUGCCUGAAGCAAGCCAUCACUGCAUGCCAGUUUCCUCAAAAACUGGGCUUUUGUGACUGUAGUAUGCAUUCAUCAGUCCUUCUCAUACUUCGUAAGCAGUUAUCUAAUUUCAGCAAGGUUUGAAAAGAGAAGUGUAGUCUCAAAGAUAAUUAAGUUCCCAAUAAGUUUCACCAGUUGUGAAACCUGUAGGAACAUAAUAAUCUUUGAGGGAGAGGAAAUUAGUGUCCCUCAGGGAAAGGCUCCAGUAUAAUCUCAAGAGUCAUCUCUUCUUUUUGCCUUGUCAAAAACCACAGAUCCACAUUGGAAACAGCUGUACUUUGAUAAUAUUUAAGAAAGACUUUGUGUAGAAAUGAUGAUUAGCUGAUAAGUGAGGUUUAUUGGAGAUAUUACAGAUGCAAAGAAUGUCACAGGGAACAUGGAAGGAGAAUCCCAAUGUAAUGUAGUGAGACAAGUGUAGAAAGAGUACACAAAGCCAAGAAAACCAGGCAUUAUUAGUUCUAUUAUUAAUGUAAUCCGCUGUUCUUCUCAGACUUUAGUGUAGAAAGUAUGUCUUUUUUUCCCUAGAGACCUGGACCGCAGUCUUGUUUGAGAAAACAUCUAAUGUCAGAAUUUCCACUUAAAUAUGCAAGAAGUUUUAUACUUGUGCUGUCCUAGUGGGGAUGCCUCAUGUAUAAGCAGGAAAAAAAAGAGCACUUUGGAUGAACAGGCUUGCCUGAAGUGUGCCUUUCUUCUUUGCUUGUAGUCUUCAAAUACUGAAUUCAUCCUGAGUUACUAACACACACAGGCACGCUGAUGUGGAACUUGAGACAAAAAAAUGUUAACACAAGUUUAAAAUUGGUACACAUCAGAAACUGCACAGUUUACUAUGAGUUUAUCUACAGUGUAUGUUAUAUAUGCAGAGAAAGCAUUCUUAAGUAAAAUCAUUGUGUGCUGUUUCAUUAGUGCUUACAAUUUACUCCUUCUGCAACUGCUGUGUAUAAACAGCGGCAAUCCUUUGCGCAGAGAUUUUCUAGAAGCC
rnacentral:lncRNA from 1 species